rnacentral:rRNA from 1 species
AUUGAACGCUGGCGGCAGGCCUAAUACAUGCAAGUCGAGCGAGCGGCGGACGGGUGAGUAAUGUCUGGGAAACUGCCUGAAGGCGGGGGAUAACUACUGGAAACGGUAGCUAAUACCGCAUACCAUCAGAUGUGCCCAGAUGGGAUUAGCUAGUAGGUGGGGUAACGGCUCACCUAGGCGACGAUCCCUAGCUGGUCUGAGAGGAUGACCAGCAACACUGGAACUGAGACACGGUCCAGACUCCUACGGGAGGCAGCAGUGGGGAAUAUUGCACAAGGGGCGCAAGCCUGAUACAGCCAUGCCGCGUGUGUGAAGAAGGCCUUCGGGUUGUAAAGCACUGUCAGCGGGGAGGCGUUACCCGCAGAAGAAGCACCGGCUAACUCCGUGCCAGCAGCCGCGGUAAUUC